AGCCUCCCAAAGCACUGGGAGUGUGAUGACUAGGUUUUCACACUGGGUUUUCGUGUGUGAGAUAUGCCUUGCUCAAACCUUGUUACAGCACUGGCACAUUGCCUGUCGGAUG
rfam:Pan troglodytes isolate Yerkes chimp pedigree #C0471 (Clint) chromosome 7, whole genome shotgun sequence.